rnacentral:rRNA from 1 species
CGGCGGCCAUAGCGAGAGGGAAACGCCCGGUCCCAUUCCGAACCCGGAAGCUAAGACUCUCAGCGCCGAUGGUACUGCAAGGGGGACCUUGUGGGAGAGUAGGACACCGCCG